AAAUGAUUUAUAUCAAUAUAUAAGAAAUUAGAUUUACAUAUAUAAUAUAUAGUAGCUAGAUAUAGUACUAAAGGGAGGAAGGGUCCUUGCAAUGCAUGAAAGCCAAUGUCCAUUAUUGGUGCUUUUUGGCUUCUUCACCUUCCAUUCUCACUUAAGUUAAAGAUGCUUCCAUGACACUAUCUUUAAUUUCUUCUUCAUAUUCUUCUUCUACCACUAAAUUUCAAGUAAGAACUCUGAAUUAGGUUGGUUUUACAUAAAAUCAUAUAUCAAUUUAAGAGAAUUUAAUUAUAUGGGUAUGGAAACUGCAUAUCUGAAAGAACAUGAAGGAAUUGUUCACAAUUCUGUUGGACAGCUGUCAUCAGCAGCAGCAGGUUCUUCAUGGUGGAGUAUUAGUGCCUUUGGAUCUCAUCAAAAUCAAUCAUCAGUUUAUGGAGACUC